rnacentral:rRNA from 1 species
GACGAACGCUGGCGGCGUGCUUAACACAUGCAAGUGGAGCGACGAACCAGGCUUCGGCCUGGGGCAAAGCCGCGAACGGGUGAGUAACACGUGGGUAACGUGCCCCAAUGACCGGGACAACCCGAGGAAACUCGGGCUAAUACCGGAUGUGCUGCAGAGUCGUAAGUCUCUGCAAUAAAGGAAGCUUCGGCCUCCGCAUUGGGAGCGGCCCGCGGCCCAUUAGCUUGUUGGUGAGGUAACGGCUCACCAAGGCUGCGAUGGGUAGCUGGUCUGAGAGGACGAUCAGCCACACUGGGACUGAGACACGGCCCAGACUCCUACGGGAGGCUG